rnacentral:rRNA from 1 species
CCUACGGGAGGCAGCAGUAGGGAAUCUUUCACAAUGGGCGAAAGCCUGAUGGAGCAACGCCGCGUGCAGGAUGAAGGUCUUCGAGUUGUAAACUGCUUUUAUAAGCGAGAAAUAUGUUGGUAACUUAUGAAUAAGGAUCGGCGAACUACGUGUCAGCAGCCGCUGUCUUACGUAGGACCAGCGCAUUAUCAGGAGUGACUGGGUGUAAAGAGUUGCGUAGGUGGUAUAUUAAGUAGCUAGUGAAAUAUGGUGGCUCAACCAUUCGGACUGUUAGCGAAACUGUUAAGCUAGAGAGCGUUAGAGGUAAGUGGAAUUCCAAGUGUAGGGGUGAAAUGCGUAGAUAUUAGGAGGAACACCAAUAGCGUAGGCAGGUUACUGGGAC